UUUUGCUCAUAUUACAUAUAUUUGGUGAAAUUUGAUAUUUUUUUCCAAAAACAGAGGGUCGGAGGAGGUCGGCCCGGCGCCUAAGACUAGGUUCCCGACUCUAAGAUUCUACUCGGGUACUUCUUCUGUUUGUGUAUAUACCACUGGAGAUCUGGAAAACGUUGUGGCCCCAGGUUGCCAAAGGAGGGGCUAUAUGUGCCGCUACGGAAUAUGUCAAGAUGUUGACAGCGGCAGGAUCUGUCAUCAAUCUGGCAGCUGUCAGCCUAGAGAGGGUGCUUUGUGUUUGCUAAACGAGGAACAAUUACACUCACACUGCAAUCUAGCGAAGCUUAUUCCAACUGACGUAUUCUAUGGAAUAAGUUAAGUUA